UACGGAGGGGGCGAGCGUUAUUCGGAAUUAUUGGGCGUAAAGGGCGCGUAGGCGGUCCGACAAGUCAAAGGUGAAAUCCCUCGGCUCAACUGAGGAACUGCCUUUUGAAACUGUUCGGACUUGAGUCCGGGAGAGGGUAGUGGAAUUCCCAAUGUAGCGGUGAAAUGCGUAGAUAUUGGGGAGGAACACCAGUGGCGAAGGCGCUACCUGGACCGGAACUGACGCUGAUGCGCGAAAGCGUGGGUAGCAAACAGG
rnacentral:rRNA from 1 species